AGGUUAGGCUAAAAGCCAUUUAGUUUUAAGAAGCCAAAAAGCCAAACUCAAUUUUGAGUGACUAUAUUCUUAUUUCCUUUGGAUCCAUUAAAUAUACGCCUCUAUAUAGGAAAUAAUAAAUGACCUCGACGAACUGUGGUGAUUUCAAAACCAGAAUUAAAUUUGCACACCACCAUCGCCACCAAGACCGUUUUUAUCACCGUCAACAAAAUCUAAAAUAACGAGCCACAAUCAUUUCGCAA